ensembl:lncRNA
GGAAUACUAUCUCUAAACUUGCAUCUUCAUUAUGAGAUCUAUUUCAGUGCUAUUGUUACUCCUGGGAAGAUCGUAGAUCAUUUAUUUUGUGUGGGAGUGAUACUGAUGGUGAGAUGAUACUAUUCUUCCCUACACACCUCCCUGAUUUAUUGUGUAUUUGAGAAUAUCUCACUGCUUGCUGAUGAAAUUUGAGAAUAAUUUGCAUCCAUGUUAAACAAUAUGAAUCUUUGUCCACCCUUUCAGUUAAUUUAUUUUCUGAAACACAGGUAGUUUCCAGAAACAGAGUAAUAGUGAGAGGGUGGACUUUGAGGAUACUAAUUGUUAGAAGUUCUGUUUUUCAGAAAGGGUCUAGUUUGCUAAUAACUGUGACUGAGUUUCAUGAAGAAUAGAUUCAAAUGUUGGUUGAUUUACCUGAACAUGUCUUGGAAAAAAAAAAAGGGGUGUAAUGUUUGAGCACUGGAGGAGCAAGAGAAGUAACUUUAUAGUUAGAGACGUUAGUUCCAUACAGAAGCAGCAGUAUGUGUUCUCAGUCACUGUGGAAAUUAUUCCUUUGUUUUCAGUUAUCAUAUCCUUGGCAUGGUAAAGCCUCUUCAGCCCCUACAAGGUCAUUUGAUUUGAUUGUCAGGCCUAGCACACUACAAAGGCAUUUGAUUUGAUUGUCAGACCUGUGUAGGUGCCUCUUUGAAAAUUUAAAUAUACUGUGAAUAGAAUAGAAACAUGUUUAUCCCACUUUCCCACUUAAUUUGUAUACUGUCCAGUGAAACACAGAACUGAAAAACCAAUGCAGUAAGCCUCCAUGUUCUUUUGUUCUAUUAAUACCACUGUGGUUGAAUAUCUUGAAAUUUUUGACCAUGCCAACAUGCCUGAUAUAAAUAGCUGUGCAAAUAGAGCUCAGCUGAGAUUACCAAACUUGGUGUUUUGCAUUUUUGAUCCAACUUGAAUGGGGAUGUCUGAAAGCAAGAUAGAAAUUAUCCCCUGUGGCACUAAUCUGGCAUGACGACUGAGAAAUUAAAGACCUUGUUUUCAGGAUUUUCUGCCUGACUGCCAUAUCACCAGUAGGCCUUUGCCUAAAGAUCCUGAUCUCAUGCUAGGACAGUGUCUGCUGUUCCUUCCUACAGAAAGAGCAUGAAAUAAGUGGAUGGAACACGGAAGUUCAGAUAUACUUCAUCUUAGUUCUUAGCUCAUUAUCUUUUCUACUUCCUUAUCAAAACAGCCUCCCUCUUCUAUUUUUCCUUUUUCCUUCAGGCAGCCCCUUAACCUGAAUGUUUCCUCAAACAGGGCCCUUUGUAGACUGUCAAAGCUGAACUGUAAAAUGUUUUUAAAAAGUCUAUUUCAAAGUGUGAACCAGUUAUCUGACUUAGGAAGAGGAUUUUUUGCUGGGAAGCAUUGGAUGUUAAUGUCGGAAUUAAUAGCUCUACCUUUAGGAGCCUUGCAAUAUCUUCAAGAAAUUCCUAUGCAGGUAGGAUGUGUACAUGUAGUAAAGGAAGCUAGAGGUGUGGAAUUCACAGAAGGUAAUUUAAUUUCAGUAGAGUGGGUAGGCCUGUAGAUAGGAGAUGGAAGACUGCAAGAGUUGUAGCAAGUGCAUUUCUUAAAAUAGAGAUAUUCUCAGGAUUUAUCUUAUAGUAAAUGAAAAUAAAGACUAUAGCCCAUAUCUCCUGCCUACCAUCAAAAUAUUAGAAGCGUAAUUUGAGAACAAGUCUUAAGGAGUUUUCAUUUAUGUAAUAUAUGGUUGGGAUUAAUGAGUUAUAGUCAAAUUAUUAUGCGGGAGAGAGAAAGGAAGAAGCAGUACUUAACUUGUAGUCAGUUUACUGCUAGGGGUAACACGCAAGCUGUUGGAAAAAACAACAACAAAAGCCAACAAAAACAACACCACUACCAACAAAACCACCUCUUGGGAGCUGUUGGAAUAGUUCUGUAGGUGAAAGUUCUUGACAGAAUGCUGGUGUUCUCUGAGUCUGACAGUAUUGUGUUAUAUGAAAAUAAAUCAUCGUUUUUCCAGGACUUUCAAAGAUGUUAAAACUCUGCAUCAGCUCUGUAUCUGUACAGAGACAUUACCUACCCAGACCAGAUCAAAGUUGCAAUAUAUACAUCUUGGAAUUUUUUUGUUGUUGUUGUUUUCCUCACUCAAGGUGUUUUAAAUGUCAUUUUUUAAUGUGUACAAGAGCACAACUUCGUUGAAUGUUUUGGUUUUUUAGUGCUUUUGUGUACCUAGUCUAUACUAUUUUUUCCUUUUCCUCCCCUACAAUACAGGUGUGAAGAUCUAACUCAGCUCAACUAAUGACCCGUGAGUGCCACAUGUUGUCUCUGCAUAUGAUUUCUUAAAAAGAAUAGAAAAUGUAUACUACUUUUUUUGUUGUUAACUUUCAGAAAGGUUCUCUUCCCAGCAAAUGGAUAACUGUUUUCCCUUUUAAUCCAGCCAUCAUUUGGAAAUCUAGGUUGAGCUUCACAAGUGAAGUACAGAGGGUCUAAAAAGGUGUCAGCUCUCUGUGGUUGGUGGAUCCUUCUGUACUUUUAUUCCUGUUAUGACCUUGUGAGAACAAAUAUGUACAUAUAUCUUCAUAUUAGGGCAGCUGUGGUACAGAAAGUACGAAAAAGCUGCUCUCAAUGGUGAAGACUUAUUUAGCAAACUGGUCUUUAGAGGUGCAUCAGUAAAAUGUACCUUGAUCAAUGACAAUAGUAACAGUACACAUUUUUCUACUGCUGUCUUAAUCAUGUCUGUGCUCAGCUGAUUUUAUUUCCGGAAAUCAUUAAUUGUGAGACCUCAUGCUUUGCUAAAUACUUUACAAGGUUCUCUCCAUUUAAUCAGGCAUUUAUAAUGAAUGGCUUUGCAGUAACUGUCUGCUGCUGUAUUUUGGGCUUUCAUACACCUUUUGUAAUUAAAUAGAUUGUUUUCUUUAGAAUACUGUUAUAUAGCAAUUAUAUUGCUUCUCUAAGGCCUACAAGAUGAGAGUUGAUUAUCAAUACCUGAUCAAACAAUUUUUUUCAUGGCCAAGUGUUUGCAGGCCAGUCUCAUUAAUCAAGAAGUUUGCUGCUUAUGAAAACAUGGCCAUCUUUACACACCUUACUUAGGAAAUAAAUGUAAGCAUUUAGUUUUACUAUUUUAAUUUUCUUCCAGAUGCUGUUCCUCAAAUUGCAGGGCAGCUGAAGGAAUAAGAGCCUUAAUUCAGUGUUACAAUACUGUCUAUUCAAAUAAGUUGAGAAGCACUGAAGCAAGAAAACUUAAAACUUAAUAUGAUGUAAAAGUGUACUACAAACUUACUUGAACAGCAUCUUGUUCUUCAGAUAAAUAUUAGGCAAAGAAUCUAUAAAACUGGAGGCAGCAGUCAGCUAAGGCUAACAAGAUUUUAGGCUUGCGGCGACAGGAUCAGCAGCAUUUCAUGCCAUUUUAGGCAUUACUACAUGCUUUGCUUCAACCUUUUGUCAGUUCUUCCACAACAGAAUCCUGCUGCUGUAUCCAAAUCCCUGGUUAUUCCACGAGAAGUGUUUGACAUGGAUUUUGUUGAAGAUUUUGAUGUACACUUUCAGGAUUAUUUAUUCCAAAAGGUUUUAUAGUGCCGUGCAGAAGAUGAACAUUUCAAGUUCUUGAACUUUAAAAUAUUUGUACUUCCUCAGAAGUCUCCAGUCACUGACACAGUUUUUAAUACUUAGUGAACAGAAUGAAACAGGCUGCAUGUCUUUCAAGCUCCAAGUACAGUGGAGGAGGAAAUAAAUAGUGAAGGGAGUUUUUGUGGUAGUGUUUUACUCUCAGUUCUUGAUUAGUGUAUGUCUGCUGUCAUAGUUGCUGCCUAGGAGCUGGAAUGAGCACCUCUUAGAAGCAGUUCCAGUGUCUGAUCCAGCUGCUACUGAAGUCCAUCGCAAAAUUGCUACUUAUCUCAAACACAACCUUGAUCAGUCCUAACGCAAUAAUCUGGAAGGAAAAUUCAGUGUUCCAGAUACAUCAAAAACACUUGAGGAUUAACAGGAUGUGCUUUUAAUCCUCCUUCAGUAGCUCAUUGAAAUAGAUGGCUGGGACUAUGACUGUAAUUUUUAUUUUCAUUCUGGAACACUUGCCUGACAGAAAAUCCCCUGUCAGGCCAAGAACAUAUAAGAUUUUCAGCUGUGGGUCCAGUAUGAUCGAUUGUAACCAUCCAUCUCAGGGACAUUUGACGGAGAUUACUGAAUAAAACCAACAGUGUGGGUAUUGAUUCUGUAUUGCAGUCUGAAUGAUUGAAGGUGUAAAUGUGCCCUGAUUCAGCAGACGAGGAUUGGCAAAUGCAGGCAGGUAACAUUUUGCUCCAAAAACAUUUUUGUGAUUCCAAAUCUCUUGUGAUUUUAAAACAAAUACUGUUGAAUGAGAUUUUGAGCUUCAUAGUCCUUGAUGCUUACAUAAAAAGUAUUUUAUUCUUCCUAGAUGCUGCUGGAGCUUCAUUUGGUGUUUUUUUUAAAAAGGGCUCCUCUUCGCUAAAUUUCCUCUUAAGUAUAUGUAGGUUGCUCUGAAAGUAAUGCCUCCUCUUUAUUUCCAUGAAAACUGCUACAGCUACAAAGAGCACUGUGACACUGUUUGAUAGAGAAAAUUCUCAGCUACAGAACGUUUUUUUAACAUACUUUUGGAGCAGUCCUUGUGUGUUUCAUAUUCUGUAAUUCUGCAGAUAUCAAUAAAAUCAUAGUACUAUCAUAUUUUUCAUGCUAUUUAUGCCUGCAGGGUGCUGAGCAAUGGCAAGGCACUAACUUCCAUUACAGCUAUUGCUAAUUAAUCUGAAUAAAUUUGAGAAGCGUGCUAUAGUUUAUAUCCAGAAAGCUCAGCAUGAAAUAUACAAAGUGUCUUGCUUUUAUAGCUCAAAUGAUGUCUGUAAUGAUUUGAAGUUCUUAGCAACAUGUAAAACAUUUUAUCAUUUUAUCUCUUCAUCUAUUAGUAAAAUAUGCCCUACUUAUAAGAAGAGUCUUAGAACUUUCAUUCUCCCAUGGUACUUUUAAUGGCUAUAUACUUCCUUGGAAAUAGAUAGAUCACUACUCAUUUCUUACUGCUGCUACUUCAAUUUUUGCCACUAGAGUUUUUAUUCAGUUUCCAGACUCUUUACCAUUCUUCUUUUCUACCAUUGCUCAUUUGCUGAGUAGAGUGGUAGUCAGACGUUAUCCUGAUAGCUUCUGUUGGAAAUGCUGCUAGUUGUGAAAUGGAUACACUUUUCACUCAUUGUUUGUGAGAAUUUUUCUAAUCCAUCCACCUACUGCACAUCCUGGCCUUUAUUAGCUGCUAUUUUCCUUCUUGAAGCACCAAGGUAAAGGAUGGUAAAAGGAUUUCCUGUCUCUGGACUACAGCUUGGUUUCACAAUUCAAGUGCAGAUCUACAAACAAUAAGAAACAACACCCUUCUGUGCGAGGCAAUUGUAAGGCAGCCAUGGCAGUUCAAAUGCUGGGGAGAACUGUUCUAUGGUACAAGAAGGAGCAGCAUUCUGGCAGCUCUUGCUGAAGCAGCUGGGAAAGUGACCUUAUAAACAGAGCUGGUAUACUCCUCUCUGUUCACAGCCUGAGGAGUUGGAGGUGCUGAAAAACAAAGGAGGCAAACUAUCCUGUCAGUAAUCUGCUUUGCUGGACCCUGGAAACAUUCCUACUCACUGCAGUGACUGUGCAAGUUCUGUGUGCUGAAGCAACAAGUGUGGCACGGUAUGUGGAGAAACACCACUAGUGAAAGGAGCGGGGACCCAGCAGCUGGAUAACCAUAUGCCAGGGCUCUUGGGAUAUCUUGCCAGCCACCAAUUUUUUGUUUGAACCUGAGCCCCCAGAAUUCAUGAACCAUGGAUGUUAGAUUACCAGACAUAAGGCACAACCAUGCGUGCUAUAUUUCCAAAGGCACGAUAAUAUAAGAAGUGACUUCCUGAUAAAGAAAUUAUGGCUUCCAGUGCAUUGAUCAGGGAGUACAUCAGAAGCUUUCAAAAGUAAUAAAGACUCUAAGGAGACAAGAACAUGAAAAACCAAGCAAACUAUAAUUCUCCAAGACCUAAAAAAGAAGACUCAUAGCUCCUCCUUCAUGUUACUAAUUUCAUACAGCAUAAUGAAAAAAGAGACUAACAGCUUUGAGCCUUGCCAAGAUGGAUGGUUCAGAUAGUGGUAAUUUCUUAGUUUAGGGGGAGAAGUGUAAAUUUUUAGGCUUGGCCACUGCCAUGUUCCAUCCACGCUGCAGUUUGGAAUGAGCUCACAAUGUUCAGCUGACAACAGAAGAAAAAGUAACAGAAUGUCUCAGAAAAUGGCUAUUCAUGUCCAAAUACAAAAUGCAACUUUUUGGAAGGACUUUCCUAUAAUUAAACAGGAGCUUAAUUUUGGGCUGGCUUUUGUAUUUGCUCAAAAUUGAAGCUUUUCCUCUUUUAUGAGAUCUUCACUGUCAUUGUAUUUUUACGUGAACACUUGUUUGUACAAGUGAUAUGUACUGAGUACAGGACAUAUACUUAACAACAGACAUGCAGUUUAUAUUGUAUUUUGUAGGUUCAGGAUGAGCACUACUAAGGAAAAAUGCAGCAUGUUAUUGAACUCUGGGGAGAUCAUGAUAGGCAUACAAAUAUGUGCUCUUAUAAUUAUGCUUCCUUAACCUCUGUCAAUUUGCAAUGGACAUUUUAAAUUCAAUGUGGAAUCAAGUUUACUCAUUUGUUCAUGUUUUUUGUCACAGCUGGAAUCUCCACUGGCAUUGAUUUUACACUGCUUCUAUUUCAUUCACUUCAGUGGUAUUCAUAAGAUAGAAGAUGAUGCAAUCAUUUUAGUUUUACACCACACGGAAUAACAUGCCUUCAGACAAGACUGGUAUCUGGCUAAUGGCGACUUCAAAGUCUUACAUGCUGUAACAAACAACGUCAGGAGGAAGGACAGGAUCUGCCCCAUGUCAUUCCUACUGGCAUUGUCUUAUUCUAUGCUACUAGAAAGACAAAGUAAGCAUGGCAAUAUACUCUGGAACAGGUGGAAAACAAGGGACACUCCAAGCUGUUUCUUUAUGUUACUGAAUACUCAGUGUUUAUGUUACUUUUAUAACGGACAGCAGACAUCAUCUAUUUUACAUAGAUUACUAUUCUGAAUGGGUAAAUACAAACAUAUUUCUGCAUCUUCUCCUAACACCAUAUUAAAUUUCCUAAUUCAAUGGUUAAAAAUUAUGAAAGUGCUAAAAUGUGCAUAAUAGUGUUAGUGCUUGUUCAUUUAUGUCUAUACCGUUCUGGAGUAUCUCAUAUACAGUGUUGCACUGGUGCUGCAUCACUCCAAGAAACCCAUUUUCAGUGAAGAUUGGUGUGGGUAUACUAUACAUUGUCACAGUAUUGCUUCCUCAAUAAACUAAGACUGUAGGAACAAGAAACUCUUGCUGUCCAAAAGCAAAAUAAACAAAGUAAAUGUUGUGUCAGCAUGACGAUUACACGUGUGUACUGAGAUGGGCAGACUUGAAUAGAACUGUAAAAGAAGCAUGGUGAAGACAAGACAACAAAUAGAAGACUACAUGGGGAGCAGCAAGCCACACAUAAUGUAGGGGAAAUUAUAGCCUGAAAAUUUGAAAGGCUACUUCUAUAUUGGAGGAAAAAAGAGCAGACCUACUACAUGUGUGUUAAAUGAAAACUGCUUAGCCAACUAAAUAUACAUUAGAGUUGCAAGAAAUGGCAAUUUUCCUGCUACAUUUUCCCCUCUUUCUUAUCUUCAGAGGCUUUGUUAAAAACUUUGUCUUCAAACUAGC